rnacentral:rRNA from 1 species
AGGCUUAAUACAUGCAAGUCGAGCGGUCUCUUUCGGGGACAGCGGCGGACGGGUUAGUAACGCGUGGGAACGUGCCCUUUAGUACGGAAUAGCCAUUGGAAACGAUGAUUAAUACCGUAUACGCCCUAUGGGGGAAAGAUUUAUCGCUAAAGGAUCGGCCCGCGUUAGAUUAGGUUGUUGGUGGGGUAAUGGCCUACCAAGCCUACGAUCUAUAGCUGGUUUGAGAGGAUGAUCAGCAACACUGGGACUGAGACACGGCCCAGACUUCUACGGAAGGCAGCAGUAGGGAAUCUUGGACAAUGGGCGAAAGCCUGAUCCAGCCAUGCCGCGUGAGUGAUGAAGGCCCUAGGGUUGUAAAACUCUUUCGC